CUAUCAUCCCAUGAAUUAUAUCGCUCUGUCACGAUGGAUUUUUACGAAUUAAAUGACGAACUAGAUUAUGAAAUUGUUGAUGAAUUGGAUGCAUCUAAUGAACUAGAAGAUCAAGAAAAUGAAAAUUUGAUUGAAAACGAAGUGGACUUUGAAUAUGAGAAAGAAACCAACACACCAGCAGAUAAUAUUACUAGCUCUUCUUCAGUGUCU